GCCAUUUUCGAGUGAUGCCUGAUCUCAUCAAUCUAGCGGGAGGGAAGGGAUAACCUGUCCGAGCCUAGCGCGACGCUAGGAUCACGCCGGAAAAUCCCCCAAAAAUCAUCAAAAAAAUUAACUUAGAGCAGAGGGCAGUCGGUGGGGCUUCGCCAGAUGCGGCGCAGUCGGUAAGAGCCUCAAGUAGCGAAGCGGGUCUCGAGAGGUGGCAGCGAUGGGACCGGAGGACCGUGAGGGGAGCAGGGACCGGACUCGGGGUCUGCCCUCACUUUCGCGGCAGAAGCUCCCCCAGGGGAUCCGGUUGCUUUGUUACCUGUUAAGUCAUUAAGAACCAGAAAGGGUGAAACAAAUGAAAAAAAUAAAUAACGUUGCAUUUUCACCUCGAUUUGGGAGCAGUAAAAGAUUUUAACCAUUAGAAGAAUACCAGUUCUGGAAAACAACCAAAGUUUCUUUGAUUGAAUGCCCAUGUAAUGCAUUGGAAUAUGAUAGGCGAUUAAGGUUUAACAAUGUUAAAAUGAAGAUAUUACUAAAAUGGCCCUCUAAAUAGCCCAACAAUUAUUAUUUUCUUUGUCCUAUGGAUUUGGCUUUGAAAGAUGUGCUGCUCUUAAUAAGGUAAAAACCAACUUUUGUAGCUAUUUCAUGUGUUAAGCACAUUCAAAAGUUGUUAGUUUAAUAAAUGAGGUUCUUAAGUUGGUAUGGGAAAAUGACUUGCUUUUCUCGUUUCAUGACUACAAUAAAUUACAGCACUGUAUUAA
rnacentral:lncRNA from 1 species